GAGAAAUAAAUUCCCAACAUUAAUAUUUAGUAAAACUAUAUUUUGUUUCAAUAUUUUAUUUAGUGGUUUGCGCCUUGUGUACACUUCACAAAGAUGUUUCUAUGUUUUUAUGUUCUAUAAUUCAAAGUGUACACAAAGGCGCAAUAUUCAAAAAAAAAAGUUCGUUGCCAAGGUGUUGUUAUAUAGAAUAAUAAGAUAAUAAAAAACGGGAAAGUAGGGCGUGUGUCCGAUCCCACACAAAAAUUACUUUAAUACCAAAAGUUUGUGUUAUUGUAAUAAAAUAUUAGUUGUGAAAAGUG